rnacentral:rRNA from 1 species
UACGGGGGGGGCAAGCGUUGUUCGGAAUUACUGGGCGUAAAGGGCUCGUAGGUGGCCAACUAAGUCGGACGUGAAAUCCCUCGGCUUAACCGGGGAACUGCGUCUGAUACUGGAUGGCUUGAGUUCGGGAGAGGGAUGCGGAAUUCCAGGUGUAGCGGUGAAAUGCGUAGAUAUCUGGAGGAACACCGGUGGCGAAGGCGGCAUCCUGGACCGACACUGACGCUGAGGUGCGAAAGCGUGGGGAGCAAACAGG